rnacentral:siRNA from 1 species
UGACCUCACACGCGGAUAAGGUAG